GACGAACGCUGGCGGCGUGCCUAACACAUGCAAGUCGAGCGGGAACCUCGGGAGGGGUAACCCUUCUGAGGGGAGAGCGGCGAACGGGUGAGUAACACGUGGGCAACCUGCCCCGGACACCGGGAUAACCCAGGGAAACCUGAGCUAAUACCGGAUACUCCGGCGCGAUCGCAUGGUCGUGCCGGGAAAGCUCCGACGGUCCGGGAUGGGCCCGCGGCCUAUCAGCUUGUUGGUGGGGUAACGGCCCACCAAGGCGACGACGGGUAGCUGGUCUGAGAGGACGGCCAGCCACACUGGGACUGAGACACGGCCCAGACUCCUACGGGAGGCAGCAGUGGGGGAUCUUGCGCUAAUGCGCGAAAGCGUGACGCAGCGACGCCGCGUGGGGAUGAAGGCCUCGGUU
rnacentral:rRNA from 1 species